CCCGAGAGCAAGGAGCAACGACACGAGUGCUUCUCUCAAACAGAAAAAGAAAAGGGCUGAGCUAGGGUUUGAACCACCAUCUCUCCGGCCUGCCCGCCAGCAGCACGCCGGCGAGCCUGGCGUCCAUGGAGGCGAUGGGGGCGGGAGGGGCAUGGGCCAAGGGUCGGCCCGUGGUGGGGUGCUGGGCCGGGCGCGGCAGCACGGGACCCGUCGAGGACAGGGGCGCGUGUAGUGGGUGUUCCUCGGCUGCCCCGGAGUGGGCAAGGGCACGUACGCAUGCCGCCUCUUGCGGCUCCUCGGCAUGCCCCACAUCGCCACCUGCGACCUUGUCUGCGGCGAGCUCGCCUCCCAAGGCCCCUCUCCAAGCAGGAGUUAAGGUUGUAUUUCUGAGGGGAGCAUGUCUAUUACCUUGAUUGAGUUGACUUUUGGCUAUUGUAUUAUUGUUACAACUUACCAGCGAAAUAGAAAGAGAGACAUGUCUGAAAAGGAUGCAGGCAGAUGGGGCAAUGCACCCAUGAGCUCGCCACUAUGCUUAUAACUAGCUUGUUCAAUUUCUCCUUAGGAAGACGCUAAUGAUGAGCAACAUUCCUUGGGACACGCCGGAAAUCCAGAGGACACGAGUGGUGUCCCUUCAAAUGCAUGUAUCUUCCAAUAUGUAUUAUUUAACCUUAGUGAUUGUAUUUAUAGACACUUUGUGUUGCUUCUGUUUGUAGUUGCAGAAGUUUGAAGGAGUCAGGGUAGCUUCCAUAUCUGUAGUUAGGGCUGGCGAUUGUGAUUUUGGGCCUGUACUGAAUAAUUUUGGGAGCGGCUGGGUAAUUACAAGCCAGGAGGACUGCAUGUGAUGAGUUCAGGGCUUAAGGCACAAGAAUAACUACGGCCAUUUUAGCUCCAACAGUAAGUACACAACCAAUCAACCAUGCAUUUUCACGACCCAGGUUUCUGAAUUCUGGCUGGCUGGCUCGCUGGCACAGCCACAUAAUCUCACACAUUCAAAUUGCUAGCUACACAAAAAAUGCCCAGAUCUACGAGUAGAAAUCCAAGGUAACACUUAGUGCCUACAAGCAUUUACUUCAUUUUUAUCUUCAUGUAAAAAGAGAAUGCAAGCUGAAAUAUACAGUCUGCAGAUUCCUCAUGUAUGUUCAAUUUUCAGAAUAGGAAGAACGAGACCGACAGCCCUUUAAUUAGAUUGGCUGAAGCAGCAUACAUACAUAUUACAAUUUUGCAUUUUAAAUUUGAAGACUAAGGCAACGACCGAUCGAUGUAAUUGGUGGUGAAUAUCUGUUUUCUUGUUUGUAUUUAAUCUUAGAAAACAGAAUCUCAUCAAGAGAAAAUCCGUAGGCAUUGCAGUCCAAUUAUUCUAGGGAUUGGAACCAGACAUGUGACUGAAUACUGCUUGGAACAUGUGAUUCUGCAAAGUUUGCGUACAUGCACCUUCUUGGAUGAUACAACUUCUCUAUGUUUGUACCUCCUCGUCAUUCAAAUUUUACAAACUUUAUGAAUAAAAAGUAGAAAGUAAUGUUCUCACUUCUCUUUUUAUGACCUUCAUUAUCUCAGUCUCAACAACAUCCAGGAGAUGUACCUAUGUAGCUACUGUUAGUUCAAAAGAUUUAUUUCACAAGUUGGCAAUACGAUAUUCAGGUAGUUAAGCAGGUGUUAUAGUUCUAAUUUACUUUUGUCUCAUAACACUUGGUCUCAUAAACAGUAGAGACUGUAGCCCAGUGUUGCUCAUUGCACACUUAUACUUAUUCUGAUUUUUGAUGGCCUCCUAAAUUUGAAUUAUUGUCUUGAUGUCAGGUGGAGGACCUUUGCAAUAUUAUCAAGCUUUACGCCAAACUGGCACUCUUACUUGAUCCCGUAUUUACUCCUUCAAACAAUUUGUGCACAAAGUUGAGGAAGUUGGGGCCAAUAAUCAUGUUAGAAUAAACUUCUUUCUUCCUUUAACAGUUUGUUUCCAUAAUGUGGGACAGCAGGAUCCGCGUCCCACUAUGAGGGACCGACCUUCAGAGAUCAGCUACCGGCGUCAUACUGCCCCUGCAAGGCACCACAUGGAAGCCUCCUCUUUGAUUUUAGCAACAAUCACUCCCACUGACACCACGGUGUGAGAAAAACACGAGCAUUCCUCUCCUUCCAAAUUUCCCACGAGAUAAGCAUCAUUAAAGAGCAUGAUAGUUCUUAUCUCCUCAAGUCUCAGAUCCAUUUUUAUCACCCUUUGAGAGCAUGGAUCACCAUAUGGAAGGAGAUGCCAUCCUUACUGUCGUUGUCUUUGGCAUGUUGCUGCCAUCUUUCUAAUCCUUGCACUGUAGAUACCUCAGUCUAUCCAUGGUAACUGUUACCUUGCUACACCUCCACAUAUGGAAAACUUAAACUUGGCAGUCUAAAAUUAAGCAGCAAACUUCAUUGCCGGUUAUCUAAAAAUUCAGUGACAACAGCUGGCACACGAGCUUCAUUUUUUAGUAGAGAUAGUAGACGAUGCAGAUGACAGUUCUACCUCUUUGACUGAAAUAAGAACUUUCUCACCAAGGGCAUACCUACAAGACAGGGGCAUACCUGCAGGACAGCAGGAGGUCCUCAGGCACCCAUCACACAUUCACCAAAGAUAUGGAGCUACCAUUUUAGAUUAGUACUAGCAUAUUGGUACAUAGUGCGUGUGUUUUAGCAUAUUAGUAGUAGCAUACCUGCAGGAGGUCCUAAGUUUGUUCAGUUCUAUACAAAUUUGAGUUGGUAUUUAGUGUUGAGAGGAUCCUAAAAUAUUGUACUACAUAAUCUCUUUCCAGGUUCUUGAAAACUUGCACUCUUGUGUUGAAUUUCGCAUUUUGGUCGAUCUGCACUGCAUCUUUUAUUGUUGUCAGCCUAGAAUUAUAUCGCAUUUUUAUCUUGUACGGGCAGAUUCAUAAGUAUGCCUUCAUACUAAUUUGACUGCAUGAUUUAAUUAGUGGCUGCAAUAUUAUUUCAUGGUCCACAACAGAACUGAAGCUGCCAAAAUGAAACUUUCUUCUUCUCAUGUAUCAAAGUAUUAACCAACCAAUUUUUUUUAGUAUCUAAAUUGUUAUGUUUAGGAUGAUAACAGAGAGUGUUGUCUUGAAGAUCCUUUUAGAUUUGUACAAGGAGGCCUUUGUAUAUGCAGAUAUUCCAGUUUAUUAAUUAAUCUACCAGCGGUGGUUUGGAUUGGCUCAUGACCUUAUGUUGAUGUCCAUUUAUAGAGAACUAAGGGGUCUAUUCUUUUAACCAUGAACCGAUUUAAGUAGCAAGUCCGUUUUUUGUUGGUUAGUUGUAUCAUUGUUCUUCAACACUGAGCACUAAUUGAUAACCAGCCAUGAUCAUCCAUCCAUUGAUUUAGUUUGCUUUUUUCUUUUGUUAGUUCUAGUUAAGUGAAAUCUAUCUGAAGCUUUGAACCUUAACAACGCCCGUGAUUUGACUCUUGGUGUUUGUGAAUUCUGAAUGAAGUAUAAGCAGCCAAUCUUUUUGAAUGAAUUUGUUGAUGAUUUGCAUGGUUAUUCUUCAUUCUGGGUGCAUGGCUAUUCUUGCGUUUGAGCCUUAGGCAAGCAGCAAUGAAAUAUGAUUGCACUGUUUGUGAGCCAUUUAAACUGAAAUCAUUCAUCCAUUUUAUUCAGAUAGUUCAUCCCACUAUUUUGGAUCACUAAUGUACUUCUAUUUCAA